rnacentral:rRNA from 1 species
CGUAAGCGCACGCAGGCGGUCUGUCAAGUCGGAUGUGAAAUCCCCGGGCUCAACCUGGGAACUGCAUUCGAAACUGGCAGGCUGGAGUCUUGUAGAGGGGGGUAGAAUUCCAGGUGUAGCGGUGAAAUGCGUAGAGAUCUGGAGGAAUACCGGUGGCGAAGGCGGCCCCCUGGACAAAGACUGACGCUCAGGUGCGAAAGCGUGGGGAGCAAACAGGAUUAGAUACCCUGGUAGUCCACGCUGUAAACGAUGUCGACUUGGAGGUUGUUCCCUUGAGGAGUGGCUUCCGGAGCUAACGCGUUAAGUCGACCGCCUGGGGAGUACGGCCGCAAGGUUAAAACUCAAAGGAAAUUGACGGA